rnacentral:rRNA from 1 species
UUUUCCUACGGGAGGCAGCAGUGAGGAAUAUUGGUCAAUGGGCGCGAGCCUGAACCAGCCAAGUCGCGUGAGGGAUGACGGCCCUACGGGUUGUAAACCUCUUUUGCCGGGGAGCAACGGGCGCCACGUGUGGCGCCACUGAGAGUACCCGGAGAAAAAGCAUCGGCUAACUCCGCGCCAGCAGCCGCGGUAAUACGGAGGAUGCGAGCGUUAUCCGGAUUUAUUGGGUUUAAAGGGUGCGCAGGCGGUCUGUUAAGUCAGCGGUCAAAGCCCGGGGCUACACCCCGGCCCGCCGGUGAAACUGG